AGAAAAGAACUCAUUCAUAUGAGAGGGAAGUAUUAGCACCCUAAAUGACACCUCACAAUCCAUUACUCCAGCUAUGAGCCUGUGCUUAUUUCAAGAAAAAAUUCAGCCACUAAAAUUCAGGUAAUCCACAAACGUGCACUUUUGAAAAAGCAUCCAUGCUGCCUCCAAGGAUGGAAGCAGAAAAGGUCACCGAUGGACUACUUAAGAUAUCCCUAAUAAAGGUAUCUAUGCAUAACGUGCCUCCAUGGCGAUAAUAACAGAAAGAGAUUGCAAAAACAAUGUUAAGGGAUUUGAAUAGAAGCACAAUUUUCAAUCAGCACAAACAACCCACGAAAAAAAAUCUCAGGCUCUGCUGCUGUUUGCUAAUAAACAAACUUGGUCCCAUAGAACAAAACUGUCCUAUCGAUGAUUUUGUAAACAGAACAAGCAAGUAACUAUUUAAAAAAACAGGCAUGUAUGGCAUGACAAUUAUGUGCUUUCUUCAAAAACUAGACUCAUCGGUUUCAGUGCAGAAAGAUCUGACAAAUAACACAAUACAGUAACACAUAGUAGCAUCAAAGUGAAAUAUAUGCCCAUGCAAAAUCAUAUAAUGCCAAAUGCAGUUCUAACUGUAAAAACCAAAACUACAACUAACCCUAUGUCCUUGAAAGUGAUAUUGACAAUCUCAUAGAUACAUGAGAAUAACUCAUCCUGAUGACCAAAUCAACAAAUAGGCCAAAAAUGUCAUUGGGGGUAAGACCUACUUUCCUCAGUUCCCAUGCAUGGUUGUAGACAACCUAUCUAAGACUUCAGCAUUCUUUGCAUGCUUAAGCUUGCAGAUUGCCUUCACCUCUAAAAACCAUUAUGCCUUCCCAAACCCCACAGAUAAAAAGAAAAGAAAACGAAAGGGAAUCCUCUCUCAAACAAAGGACGGCAUGGCAAGAAUGUCAAGAAAAAGAAGCAGCUUACAACGGAGCCAAGAUGAGGUCAAUGUGAAAAGAUUGCAACGCUAGUUAUGUAACAGCAUCCCAUGGGUACAUGUUAUACCAAGAGAACAUAGUAUAUAUACAUCAUAUAAAAUAACAUGAUCACUCAUAAAAACAUAACUAGACAGAAAUGAUUCCAAGCAUAUAUUAGCUGGUUUUAUAAUUCCUCAUUUUCAAUCUAGUUUCUUGACAAAAGACCUAACCAAUCCCCUCUAUUAUCUCCACAUCAGAAACAAACCAUUACAAACAAUCACCUACACAAAUGAAAGUAUCCUACCAUUUCAGGAACUACAAACCCUCUCUUGCAAUCGCUUUUAUCCCUUACAGCAUUAACAUAGAAUCUUCAAAGCAAAAGAAAAAAAAAAAAAACUAAACUGGAACAGAUACAUAAAUAAGCAAACCUUUUAUUUCAUAGAAAAAACCAACAAACCCAUAUCACAUAUUCUUUUAAAUCCUUCUAAACCAUUUUUUAUUAUUAUCUUGUCGAGCUAGAAUCCAAAUCAAUAAAAGACCCUCGAUCCAGUUGAAUUUUUUGAAUUUCACACACUAAUUCCCUUCCAUUUAAGUCCAAUCUUCACAUAAACUUAACAAAUUUCUUCUCCAGCUGAUUAAGUACCAAACUGAUCCAAAUUUUUAAAAGACCCACAUCGUCAAAAUCUAUUUACGAGCUAAUACAGCAACGAUUACAAGACUUAAACAAAACCCCAAUGAACCAAGAAUCAAAACGUUGAGACAUUACCCCUUUUUUUUAUGAAUAAUGGUUCAAAUUCUUCUUUUUUUAAUGACCAACAAUGGUAUUUGUCAUUUCAAUUGGAUUCUACAAAUAAGUUGGCAUUGUUUAAAAAACCACAAAGAAGUUGGAAGCCUCUCAGCUGGCAAUGAUUGAACAUUAAUGGUGAAUGAUAUCGAUGAGUGCAUCGUUAGACGCUGACAAUAAGGAGAGAAACUAGAUUGUCUUGAAAAACAUUACCCAAGUCACUGAUACAGUACCUUUAUUUACCAAACAGAGGUUAUAAUAAAAUCAGA